ACACAGGGUCUGAUCCAAAGCCCACUGACAGUAAUGGGAGUUUUCCCAUUGAUUUCAAUAGGGUUUGGCUCAGGCCCAUGGU
rnacentral:pre_miRNA from 1 species